UCUCCGUAGGUGAACCUGCGGAGGGAUCAUUACAGAGUUCAUGCCCUCACGGGUAGAUCUCCCACCCUGUGUUAUUAUACUUUGUUGCUUUGGCAGGCCGCCCGCGAGGGCUACCGGCUCCAGCUGGUAAGUGCCUGCCAGAGGACCCCAAACUCUGAAUAUCUUAUUGUCUGAGUACUAUAUAAUAGUUUAAAACUUUCAACAACGGAUCUCUUGGUUCUG
rnacentral:misc_RNA from 1 species